rnacentral:rRNA from 1 species
CAGUCGCCGCGGGAAUACGAAGGGUGCAAGCGUUAAUCGGAAUUACUGGGCGUAAAGCGUGCGCAGGCGGUUUGUUAAGUCAGAUGUGAAAUCCCCGGGCUCAACCUGGGAACUGCAUUUGUGACUGGCAAGCUAGAGUGUGGCAGAGGGGGGUGGAAUUCCGCGUGUAGCAGUGAAAUGCGUAGAUAUGCGGAGGAACACCGAUGGCGAAGGCAGCCCCCUGGGCCAACACUGACGCUCAUGCACGAAAGCGUGGGGAGCAAACAGGAUUAGAUACCCCAGUAGUCCCUGUCUCUUAUAA